UUGAUUUUCAACAUCAUUUUUCCCUAAUAGACAAUCUUAUUAACUUUGAUGACUUCAUUCAUUGACUCGGGAUGUCGGUGGUUGCAGUGCUGAGUUCUCUUUUGAACUUGGUCUCCCUCAUUGAUGAACGUCCGCUGUCGCUAUUCCAAGGCAGCGUGAGUGAGUGGAGUGAUAUGAGAAGG
rfam:Phytophthora parasitica P1569 supercont1.3702, whole genome shotgun sequence.